UAUUGUAAGACUACCUUUGCUAUAGAUACUUAUAUGAUUCUUCUGUCCCCGUUAACAAACUACAGCUGCUCUGUGUUCCGAUGCCAACCAAGGAAUUUUCGGUCAACAGUAGAACUGAGAUACUAAGGCUGGAGUGGCCUGUGCAGUUCAUAAAAGUCUUCUCCAUUCAGCUCGUUCCAUGGUUGCACGUCGCCAACCACGCACUCUACGGAGGGUCCGCAAAUCGUCUUCCUUGGUCGCUGCGCACCUCGCUUUCUUGUGCCCGUCGGAUCGUUGGCAAGAACCAUUUACAUCGGAUUAAUGUCCGACACCGUAGUCGUUCGAUUUUCGCGGUUUGAACGAUGGAUGGGUCUCCCAACAGCUGAUGCAACUCGUUGUUCAUUCACCUCUCCCGCGUACCAUCCGCCAUCUGCACCCCGCCAUAGAUGGUACAUUUCACUCUAUUGAUUCUAAAAUGUGGACCUUUUUACGGAAAGAUGACAGACGAAGAUGCCGUAUAAUUAGAGGCUUUUUGUUCUUUGCUAAAUAUCUUCUUGUGCAGCACUCACGGUUCCAUUUUUUAUAAGUUGCCUUUCAUGUGCACUAUACAGCAUGUCGUUUAGACAAAUCCGAAUGGGAACAGAAAUGAAAUGCUGCCUAAAUAGAUCUUCUCAACCCUAUCAAGUAAUUGACUGGAACAACAUCGAAAAAUGCUUAUUAUUUAUAUUCAGUUGUAAUUAUUGCAUACCGAAAAAAAUGAAAAUGAAAAGAUAAUACAAACAAAAUAUAUCUAAUAAAAUGUUAACAUUAUACAUUAAACAAA